GCGGCCGUCGUCUAGUAUGGUCUAGGACGCUGGCCUCCCGAGGAAGAGGAAAGCCGGUGACCCGGGUUCAAAUCCCGGCGGCCGCA
rnacentral:tRNA from 1 species